AGGAUGCGCUGUGAGUUCUCAGGGGAUGUGGGGCCAUGUCCAGGCUGACAGAAGCCCCUGGCCUCCUGAAAACCUGCUGUGAGGCUUCCAGAGGAUGUGAGGCAUACUCCACAGUGACAGGAGACCCGGCGUACUGAGGACCCGCUGACUAUGACUCUGGAAUACGUGGGGUCACGUGCGCACUCACAGGAGCCCAGCUUCCUGAGGACCCCCUAGAGGACUCUGGAGGCGCCGUUGGAGGCCACGUCCACAUCAGAAGGGACUACUCAGAACCACAGGGACCCCCUGGAGGACUCUGGAGGCGCCGUUGGGGGCCACGUCCAUAUCAGAACGGACUCCUCUGAACCACAGGGUAAGUGAAUGGGUAGAAUGAAUGGUAGGGUCAGGGGAGGGGAGGCAGUUGGUGCUUAGCCUUAGGUUAGAUG
rnacentral:lncRNA from 12 species